rnacentral:rRNA from 1 species
UACGUAGGGUGCAAGCGUUGUCCGGAAUUAUUGGGCGUAAAGAGCUCGUAGGCGGUCUGUCGCGUCGGCUGUGAAAACUCGGGGCUCAACCCCGAGCCUGCAGUCGAUACGGGCAGACUAGAGUGCUGUAGGGGAGACUGGAAUUCCUGGUGUAGCGGUGAAAUGCGCAGAGAUCGGGAGGAACACCCGUAGCGAAGGCGGUUCUCUGGGCCGGUACUGACGCUGAGGAGCGAAAGCGUGGGGAGCAAACAGG